UGUGUACUCCCUCCGUUCCAAAAUACUUGACUUCCAUUUGUCGAAAAAUGGAUGUACCUAUAUACUAAAACAUGUCUAGAUACAUAUAUAUUUUGACAAAUAGAAGGCAUGUAUUGUGCAACGGAGGGAGUAGAAU
rfam:Triticum aestivum genome assembly, contig: Triticum_aestivum_CS42_TGACv1_scaffold_597466_7BS